CGGGGGGAGCAAGCGUUGCUCGGAUUUACUGGGCGUAAAGGGCGCGUAGGCGGCCAGCACAAGUCAGUUGUGAAAUCUCCGGGCUUAACUCGGAAAGGUCAACUGAUACUGUGCGGCUAGAGUGCGGAAGGGGCAACUGGAAUUCUCGGUGUAGCGGUGAAAUGCGUAGAUAUCGAGAGGAACACCUGCGGCGAAGGCGGGUUGCUGGGCCGACACUGACGCUGAUGCGCGAAAGCCAGGGGAGCGAACGGGAUUAGAUACCCCGGUAGUCCUGGCCUUAAACGAUGGAUGCUUGGUGUCUGGAGUUUUAUAGUCUCCGGGUGUCGCAGCUAACGCGUUAAGCAUCCCGCCUGGGGAGUACGGUCGCAAGACUG
rnacentral:rRNA from 1 species